AUGCCAGUCGCCGCCGCAGCCGACCUGCCAAGCUGCCGAGGAGCCACCCACGGCCAAAGCAGCAGCCACACCAGGCCACUGCCCAACCCGCGCCGCCAGCCGAGCUCCAAGCGUCGGAGCUGCCGGGCACGCACCAGCCCCACCUCCACCCACACAGGGAGAAACCGCAGCCCAACCACCGGCCGCCGGGCGCCGACCCCGAUCCCAAGCCCACCGGCGCAACCACAAGCCGCGUUGCCAGAAAUGGCCAAGGCGAGACCAGCCCGCGAGCGUCGCCCAUGGUACCCCCGACGGAAGCUCGGAUCCGUCAGGGCGACCGCGCAGCUCCCCACAGCGCUAGCUUCCCCCGCCGCCACGGCCCGCGUCGCCAGCCAAAGGCAUCCCCGAUCCGGCCUCCUACUUGUGCAGCUUGACCACCGCCGCCCACGGAGGCGACCAGCGUUUCCACCGUCAGGCCCAACGCCGCCUCCCACCUGCGCCGCUGCCACGGAGGCGACCACCACCGCCGCUCGCAGGAGCAGACACUUCGUCCACUUUGGCCGCCGGCGCCACAGAUAA
rnacentral:rRNA from 1 species